UACGGGGGGAGCAAGCGUUGUUCGGAUUUACUGGGCGUAAAGGGCGCGUAGGCGGUCAGCACAAGUCAGUUGUGAAAUCUCCGGGCUUAACUCGGAAAGGUCAACUGAUACUGUGCGACUAGAGUGCAGAAGGGGCAACUGGAAUUCCCGGUGUAGUGGUGGAAUGCGUAGAUAUCGGGAGGAACAUCAGUGGCGAAAGCGGCACCUGGCAUUAGCCUGACGCUCAUGUGCGAAAGCGUGGGGAGCGAACGGG
rnacentral:rRNA from 1 species